UUUGUGUUGGAGGGGGGUUCUCUGUAAGGUUAAGGUCCUCACCUAACAUUGAAAGCUUCAUAGCAUUCUUUUUCUUCAUAUGUUUCAGAGAUGAAAAGUAAAGACACAGCUCCUUAUGAAAAACAUAGAAAUUUGGUCUUGAUUUCAGGAAUCUAUUUUUAUGU